rnacentral:rRNA from 1 species
GUAGGCUGCAACUCGCCUACAUGAAGUCGGAGUUGCUAGUAAUCGCGGAUCAGAAUGCCGCGGUGAAUGCGUUCCCGGGUCUUGUACACACCGCCCGUCACACCAUGGAAGUUGGGGCGCCCGAAGUUGCCUAAGAAAUAAGGUACCUAAGGCGAAACCAAUGACUGGGGUGAAGUCGUAACAAGGUAGC